GCUUCAGCCUAUAUGAUUUCAGAGCCAGAUGAUGCAGAUCCUUUAUUCAAAUCACAUUAUCGCAUGAGUCGUAUAGUUGCUUCAGAACUCAUGGAUAAAAUUGGUUCACAUCCAAAAAUGAAUGGAAGAGUUCAGACUCUUGA
rnacentral:sRNA from 1 species